UACGAAGGGGGCUAGCGUUGUUCGGAAUCACUGGGCGUAAAGCGCACGUAGGCGGAUCUUUAAGUCAGGGGUGAAAUCCCGAGGCUCAACCUCGGAACUGCCUUUGAUACUGGGGAUCUCGAGUCCGGAAGAGGUUGGUGGAACUGCGAGUGUAGAGGUGAAAUUCGUAGAUAUUCGCAAGAACACCAGUGGCGAAGGCGGCCAACUGGUCCGGUACUGACGCUGAGGUGCGAAAGCGUGGGGAGCAAACAGG
rnacentral:rRNA from 1 species